rnacentral:rRNA from 1 species
CACGUAGGGCGCAAGCGUUGUCCGGAAUUAUUGGGCGUAAAGAGCUCGUAGGCGGUCUGUUGCGUCCGCUGUGAAAUCCCAGGGCUCAACCCUGGGCGUGCAGUGGAUACGGGCAGGCUGGAGGCAGGCAGGGGAGAACGGAAUUCCCGGUGUAGCGGUGAAAUGCGCAGAUAUCAGGAGGAACACCUGUGGCGAAAGCGGCUCACUGGACCAUAACUGACGCUGAUGCACGAAAGCUAGGGGAGCAAACAGG